UCAACGAAUCUUAACUCGUUGUUUUGACCACCCAAACCACCACAAAUCGCUUCGGGCUCUACACGAAAGUUGUAGAUCUCGUCGAGAUCUUUCAAUCCCGACCAAUCUCAUCUCUUUUCGUCCACCAUACACGGAUAAUUUCGCAUCGCAAGGCGUCAGAUCUGACGAAGGGAAUUCUCAAUUAGUUCGUGCUCGUUCCACGAAAUCCAAAUUCCUUUGAUCUGUUUCGACUCAACCGGAGCCAAAUCGAGUUUCAUAACGAUUUCGAAUCGUCAUGACUUCAACACGAAAGUUGUUCCUCUCUUCAAGAUCUUUCAAUUGCCGCAAGUCUCAUCUUGUUUCGUUCAUCGAGCAAGGAGAAAAACGUAUUACAAGAUUCAGAUCUUAUAAGUUUGUACGGAGAGGCACAUAUUUUGAUUAAGAGAAGUGAACGCGCUUCGACUACCAAAAAGGCAAGUGACACUCAAUUCCUACCUAUUUUGUUAUGCAUUAGUGUUCUUCUCAAACUAGUAUGCAUGGUAGGAUUUUGUUUUCGAAAAUUAUGCUAUGCUUAUCAAUCCUAGUAGUGUGUAGCCAUCCAUGAACCCUUGCUAGGAUUCUUAGUAUGCCUAGCAAUAACAAAAUGCCACUGCUGUUUUCGAUUAAUCUGGAUUGUGAGUAUUGAGAAUUAAAAUUAACAACUUUAAUGAAUCACCUGGGUGGAUUGGUUGUGUGGUGGGCGGCUGCUCAGGGCUCCGACCCUGGAGUAACCAGUGGCAGGUGGGUACCCGAGAGUGCGCAUUUGAAUAGUGGUUGCCCUAGACUGCACCUCUGGUUUUCACCAGGGGAUCGUGCGAGGGUUUAUUAUCUUUAAUGGUUUUAAGCCUGUGAGUUUCACUCGUGGAUGGCCACCCAUGAUUAAAGAGAUUAAUAUGUCAUCCAUGUUUUAGAUAGCUUCUAGUGCAGCCUUAUGGUAUUAUGGGCUCUGCCGGGAUUAAGUAAGUUGUGAGGUCCAACUUGUUUGAUAGACAGGAAGAUGUGGAUUGCAACCAAAUGGGUAAGAGUCUAUGCUAGUAUGGUUGAAACCUCCUUCUGAAAGAUCUUGUCUCAUUCUUCUCCUGGGGAGGGUGAGUCGUAAGGUGAAAGUGCACAACCUCUCGAGAGUUAAACCUAAGAUCUUAGCCGUGUCCCCGGUUAUGGACAAUUUGAGCUUUCUAGGCAGGGAAUGUACGGAAGAAUCUCAUCAUUGUUUUCUGAAUAAGUUAAAAUUUGAGUAGCAACUGUCGGAUAGUACAUGGGAGAUGUAACCAUGAUACUGUUUAUGACAUCAUUACAAGUUUUGUAAAAUGUUUUGUUUUAAAUAAGAUGUAGGAUAAAAUUGGCUUUAUGCAAAUUUGCCUAAACUCCACUUGCCAAAUAUCAUGUAGAUAGUCAUGCCCAAAACUGCCACCAUAUAAGUGUCAUUUGCCAGUACAUCAUUGUACUGACCUCCAUUCGUGGGGCUGCAUAUUCAAACGUGCAGGAUUUUCUGAGGAGAAGUACGUGGUAGGAUCUCGAGUCUACAUUCCAACAUGACUGCCUGUGGCACAUGAAGAUGAUGAAGGCUCAUUGAUGACUUACAUUCCGUUGUGUUUGUUCUGAGCAUUUGUUGAGCUAGUCCAUGUGACUAUGCAAUUUGUAAGGUUUUACUUUACCCUCUGGAUCAACGAUGUAGUAAUUUGAUACUAUUGCAAUGAUUACUAUAUUUUGUAA